GAAUUGCUUUAAUGUAUUAGAUUGUUUUAAUUCAAACUGCAAUGCACUGAAUUUUCAAAAGCAAAUUAUUUUAAAUUAUUUUUUGUUAAUGUUACACAAUUCUAUAUAUAUAUUUCACUGGAUUUGUGUUUUUGUAUGUUUCAAAUAGAUUUUAUUGGCUUUUCUCCGUUUGAUGUUAUUUUCUUACGGAGUUGGAUGUUUACUGCUGACUUGUCCCAUCCAAUUCCCCUAUAUUUUUAUGGCAAGAGAAGAGACUAAGCUAGUUUGAUUAUUUGCAGGGGAAAUCAGAGGAGUUCCGACAGGAGUUUAAAUUGAAGGUUCGGAAGUUGUUGAUAGGAUAACAGAAGAAGAAGAAGAAGGUCAAGGAUGAAGAAGAGCAAAAGGAGAUGUGGAUAACUAGGGUUACCUUUCUUUCGAUUAAUGGUAUCCUUGGAUUUUGUAUCCCAGUUUGGAGGUCUUUUUUAUUAAUGAAUUCAUCAACUUAGGAAAAGAAAAAAAAAAAAACCUUCCAAGAGGUCAAAUAACAUUGAGUGAAACAAGUAUGAAAUCUUGGGCAUCCACAACACUCCACCAAUGUGACAAAUAGAGAAGCUAAAGGCUAUCAAUCAAGAGAAAUUGUUCUAGGAGUGUUAGAAACUAGAAAGAUGAAUUUAAUGGAAAAGUUUCACUGUUGGUUGUAACUGUCCUAGACAAUGAACAACUACGAUUGGUCUCCCAUGAAUGGAUUAUGUCAUCUAUUUCAGAUUCUUCAUCACCAUGGUCUUCAAUAACAUUCCCACCUGAAGCUUUAAUCAACUCCAGCUCCAUUGCUACUUGUUUCAUGGUGGGUCUUUUCUUUCCAUUAAGAUUCAAGCAUCUUUUUGCUAGCAGAGCCACUACUAUAAUCUCCCGUUCUGGACCAUCCUUUACUACCAUUGGAUCGAGAAUGUUAAAUAAGGAAUUCUCUUGCAUUGAAUCCAAAAAGUAAGAUACCAAGCUUCUCACUGGCUCUGAUUGUUCUGCGGAGAUGGGUUUUUGUCCUGUUAAAAGCUCAAUAAGAACAACUCCAAAGCUAUAAACAUCACUCUUCUCUGUAAAUUGACUUGAUCGAAAAUAUUCGGGAUCCAUGUAUCCAAAAGUUCCUUGCACCCGAGUGGUUAGAUGUGUUUGUUCAAGUGCAACUGAUCUUGAAGUUCCAAAAUCUGAUACUUUUGCCCUAUAUUUACCAUCCAGAAGUAUGUUACUAGAUUUGAUGUCUCGAUGAUAAAUAGGAGCAGAAGCAGCUGAAUGCAAAUAGAACAAGGCAUUGGCAAUUUCAAUCGCAAUUCGUAAA